GACGAACGCUGGCGGCGUGCUUAACACAUGCAAGUCGAACGGAAAGGCCCUGCUUGCAGGGUACUCGAGUGGCGAACGGGUGAGUAACACGUGGGUGAUCUGCCCUGCACUUCGGGAUAAGCCUGGGAAACUGGGUCUAAUACCGGAUAGGAGCCAUUUUUAGUGUGAUGGUUGGAAAGUUUUUUCGGUGUAGGAUGAGCUCGCGGCCUAUCAGCUUGUUGGUGGGGUAAUGGCCUACCAAGGCGGCGACGGGUAGCCGGCCUGAGAGGGUGGACGGCCACAUUGGGACUGAGAUACGGCCCAGACUCCUACGGGAGGCAGCAGUGGGGAAGAUUGCACAAUGGGCGCAAGCCGGAUGCAGCGACGCCGCGUGGGGGAUGACGGCCUUCGGGUUGUAAACUCCUUUCGCUAGGGACGAAGCUUUUUGUGACGGUACCUAGAGAAGAAGCACCGGCUAACUACGUG
rnacentral:rRNA from 1 species